rnacentral:rRNA from 1 species
CGCGGCGAUGCGAGCGGUCCGCCGCCUGUGACGUCACGAGAAGUCCACUGAACCUUAUCAUUUAGAGGAAGGAGAAGUCGUAACAAGGUUUCCGUAGGUGAACCUGCGGAAGGAUCAUUGCCGAGAACCGACCGAGAGACCGCGAACCUGUAAACGGAUGACACCGUGUCGGGCGGGCACUAUGCCCGUCCUGCUCGGGACCUCGCACCGUGUCCGGGACCGCCUUCGAGCGCUCCGGACACGAUUUGCGGGGGACGGACGAAACCCCGGCGCGGCCUGCGCCAAGGAACAUAUGACAGGACGGACGCACGUCAACGCCUCUGCGGCGGGGCGACGUUCGCNCUCUAUCCAUACGACUCUCGGCAACGGAUAUCUCGGCUCUCGCAUCGAUGAAGAACGUAGCGAAAUGCGAUACUUGGUGUGAAUUGCAGAAUCCCGUGAACCAUCGAGUCUUUGAACGCAAGUUGCGCCCGAGGCCUUUCGGCCGAGGGCACGCCUGCCUGGGCGUCACGCCUUGUUUCGCUCCGUGCCCAUGCCCCUUCGGGGGCGGUCACGGAUGCGGAGAAUGGCCCUCCGUGCCUCGUGUGCGGCGGGCUUAAGCGCGGGCUGUCGGCGCCGGGAUGGGCACGACGAGUGGUGGACGGAGCACCAGCAGGAUGUCGUGGCCCCCUGUCGCCUUUAGGGGCUCAAGAGACCCGGAACAGGCGAGCCGUGCUCCUUUACGAGGAGGGCGUGCCGUCUCGCAAUGCGACCCCAGGUCAGGCGGGGACACCCGCUGAGUUUAAGCAUAUCAAUAAGCGGAGGAGAAGAAACUACAAGAU